AGCUGAUAGCGGUGUGUCUACAUUUUAAAAAAAAGCAAGGCCUGCAAGACGUCGAUAGUGGAAAUUUCAGCUCAACUAACGUAUGACAGAUUAUAAAGCUUAAAGCAGACUCUUGUUACCACAUGGCUUUUACCUGUUGAUUCUUGUGGUUUCAGCUCUUGAGGUUAACCUGUCACCUCUACCCACAUGCAUAUUCCUUGUGUUCUACAGACUAUCUACCGGUAAUUCAAAUUAAAUCGGAUAAUGCAUGAACAAUAAUGGAACUUUAAGAAAGCAUCAUGUCCUAUUGUGGUUUGUUCAUGUUUGAUAAGAAAUUAUGAAAAACAAAAUUAAGGCUGUUUAAAGAAAUAUAAUUGUUGUGAAAAUUUGUUUUUCAAUAAAAGUAUGCAAUUAUG